UUCUGGUGGUUUGUCGCGGGUGUUACACCUGAUCUCAUUCCGAACUCAGAAGUUAAGCCCCGUUGAGGCGAUGAUACUCUCUCUGAAGGGGAAAGUAGCUAGCCGCCGGAACU
rnacentral:rRNA from 1 species